UAACGCGAAGAACCUUACCUGGUCUGGACAUCCUACUGAAUAGAUAUGUAAUGUAUUUAGUCUUCGGACAGUAGAGGCAGGUGGUGCAUGGUUGUCGUCAGCUCGUGUCGUGAGAUGUUAGGUUAAGUCCCGCAACGAGCGCAACCCUUAUUGCCAGUAGCCAAUAUUAAGUUAGGCACUCCGGCGAGACUGCCGUGGACAACACGGAGGAAGGUGGGGAUGACGUCAAAUCAUCAUGCCCCUUAUGUUUAGGGCUACACACGUGCUACAAUGGGCGGAACAAAGUGAAGCAAAGCAGUGAUGCGGAGCAAAGCACAAAAAAGCGCCCCCAGUUCGGAUUGUAGUCUGCAACUCGACUACAUGAAGUUGGAAUCGCUAGUAAUCGCAGAUCAGAAUGCUGCGGUGAAUACGUUCCCGGGUCUUGUACACACCGA
rnacentral:rRNA from 1 species